GACGAACGCUGGCGGCGUGCUUAACACAUGCAAGUCGAACGGUGAAGGUGGAGCUUGCUCCGCCGGAUCAGUGGCGAACGGGUGAGUAACACGUGGGCAACCUGCCCCAAACUCUGGGAUAACUCCUCGAAAGAGGUGCUAAUACCGGAUACGAACUAGACAGACAUCUGUACUAGUUGGAAAGUUUUUCGGUUUGGGAUGGGCCCGCGGCCUAUCAGCUUGUUGGUGAGGUAACGGCUCACCAAGGCUACGACGGGUAACCGGCCUGAGAGGGCGACCGGUCACACUGGGACUGAGACACGGCCCAGACUCCUACGGGAGGCAGCAGUGGGGAAUAUUGCGCAAUGGGCGAAAGCCUGACGCAGCGACGCCGCGUGAGGGAUGAAGGUCUUCGGAUCGUAAACCUCUUUCAGUAGGGACGAAGCGAAAGUGACGGUACCUAAAGAAGAAGCACCGGCUAACUACGUGCCAGCCGCCGCAGUAA
rnacentral:rRNA from 1 species